ACCUGGGUGGCUCAGUCGGUUAAGCGUCUGACUUCGGCUCAGGUCACGAUCUCGCGGUUUGUGAGUUCGAGCCCCGCCUCGGGCU
rnacentral:tRNA from 1 species